UACGAAGGGUGCUAGCGUUGCUCGGAAUGACUGGGCGUAAAGGGCGCGUAGGCGGACGGCUUUGUCGGGCGUGAAAUUCCAGGGCUUAACCUUGGGGCUGCGUUCGAGACGGGUUGUCUAGAGUUUGGAAGAGGGUCGUGGAAUUCCCAGUGUAGAGGUGAAAUUCGUAGAUAUUGGGAAGAACACCGGUGGCGAAGGCGGCGACCUGGUCCUUGACUGACGCUGAGGCGCGAAAGCGUGGGGAGCAAACAGG
rnacentral:rRNA from 1 species